rnacentral:rRNA from 1 species
UACAGAGACUGCAAGCGUUAUUCGGAUUCACUGGGCGUAAAGGGUGCGCAGGCGGCCGUGUGGUGUGAGGCGUGAAAGCCCGGAGCUCAACUCCGGAAUUGCACCUCAAACUACACGGCUAGAGCAUUGGAGAGGGUAGCGGAAUUCACGGUGUAGCAGUGAAAUGCGUAGAUAUCGUGAGGAACACCAGAGGCGAAGGCGGCUACCUGGACAAUUGCUGACGCUCAGGCACGAAAGCGUGGGGAGCAAAAGGG